AGAUUUCCCAAUUAGUAAGACCCCUUGAAGACGACGAGGUAGAUAGGUUGGGGGUGGAAGUGCAGUAAUGCAUGGAGCUGACCAAUACUAAUCGGUCGAGGGCUUAUCCUAAA
rnacentral:rRNA from 1 species